rnacentral:lncRNA from 1 species
GGCGUAUUGUUAUGCGUUUACUUUUCUACAUUGGCUAGAGGUAUAGGGGGAGGGUUGAGAUCUCACAAACAUGUUUAACCCCGCCGCAUUUUUGCGCCUGUCCCAUAGUCAGGAGCCUCUGGCCUUUGUUAGUCUUGUAUUAUUUUAAUUUUAGUUUCUUGUGUACAAUUUGGAAAUUAGUAUGGCGUUCAUUAUCACUGAACUAGUAUAUAUUUGUUUAGGGGCCAGCUGAAGGAACCCUCCGGGUGCGGGAAUUUCUCGCUACAUUGAGGACCUGUUGGUGACCUUCUGCUGUUGUUUUUUUCUAUGGUCGGGUUGUUGUCUCUUUGGCACAUUCCCCA